GCGGGUGUAGUUCAAUGGUAGAACCCUAGCCUUCCAAGCUAGCUACAGGGGUUCGAUUCCCCUCACCCGCUCCA
rnacentral:tRNA from 1 species